CAGCCGCCGCGGGAAUACGGAGGGAGCUAGCGUUGUUCGGAAUUACUGGGCGUAAAGCGCGCGUAGGCGGUUACUCAAGUCAGAGGUGAAAGCCCGGGGCUCAACCCCGGAACUGCCUUUGAAACUAGGUGACUAGAAUCUUGGAGAGGUCAGUGGAAUUCCGAGUGUAGAGGUGAAAUUCGUAGAUAUUCGGAAAAACACCAGUGGCGAAGGCGACUGACUGGACAAGUAUUGACGCUGAGGUGCGAAAGCGUGGGGAGCAAACAGGAUUAGAUACCCCGGUAGUCCCUGUCUCUUAUAC
rnacentral:rRNA from 1 species